GACUGAAUUCCUAACUAAUCAAUUAUAGCUAAAAAUUAACACAUAAUUCAGCGUAAAGUUUUUGCCAAGACUGGGUUUGCAUUAAGCAGGUACUCGUGCUAAUAUACUGACGUUAUGCUCUUUACAGGCGUAUUUCUUCUGCUAACUUUACGUUUAAUUGACUCAAGAUAUCACAUAGCAAUAUUGGAUGAUAAUAUCAGUGAUUUAAAACAACAGAGACUGCAAGAUUUAUACUAUGAUAUUCUAGAACACGAACGAGAUGAAUGUGAAUCUGAUAUUUGGGAUGGAUGUGACAAAGAUAACGAUUCUUGGCUCAACGAUCAUAGAGAUCCACGCGGCACUGACAGAUCGAAUCGAAACCGGAAAAAUCAUUUCAUCAAAUUGAAGUUUGGAGUAAAACCGAGUAAGGGAAAUAAAAUACCAAGCAAAAUGAAUUUGAACGAGGAUCGAUAUUGCUAUAAAUCACUUCAUACUUAAUCUAAAUUGUUUUCCGCUAAAUAUUUAUAACUUCUAUCGAAUUACUUGAAAAAUAAUUCCAAAUAAUCAGCAUUUCAAAAGUAGAACUCCUGUUGAUGUAAUUCACUGUAAUGUUCUAAUAUCUGUGAUGUAAAUCAAUAAAUUAAUUGGAUCACAUCUU